rnacentral:lncRNA from 1 species
AUGUGUAAGAAGGCGUUUUCUGCUGUACUGAUGCAGUUUCAUGAUUGCUGCUGCAUGGAAUCCUUCCCUCACAAACCUAAAGACAUCACUACAGACAAACAAGAAUUCUCUGGAUCCUGCAUGAGAAGUUGUCCUGCAUACAAGGAGCAGCUUGGGUGCUUGUGCCUAGCACAUAUUAAUAGCAAAAAUAAAAUAGAAGUCUACUGUGCAUUCCCAAAUUCACUUCAAAAUCCUCAUCUCCUGAAGGCAGACACCACCAUUUGUUCUCAGGAAGACACUGUGUUAGCUGGAUGAAUACAUGCCAUUAAACCUGGCAUGCAAUGUUUAACAUCACUACAAACUCAGAAUAAAUUUGGCUACAGUACUUUUCCUCCUCCUUUU